CCUACGGGAGGCAGCAGUGAGGAAUAUUGGUCAAUGGACGAGAGUCUGAACCAGCCAAGUAGCGUGAAGGAUGACUGCCCUAUGGGUUGUAAACUUCUUUUAUAUGGGAAUAAAAUGUUCCACGUGUGGGAUUUUGUAUGUACCAUAUGAAUAAGGAUCGGCUAACUCCGUGCCAGCAGCCGCGGUAAUACGGAGGAUCCGAGCGUUAUCCGGAUUUAUUGGGUUUAAAGGGAGCGUAGGUGGAUUGUUAAGUCAGUUGUGAAAGUUUGCGGCUCAACCGUAAAAUUGCAGUUGAAACUGGCAGUCUUGAGUACAGUAGAGGUGGGCGGAAUUCGCGGUGUAGCGGUGAAAUGCUUAGAUAUCACGAAGAACUCCGAUUGCGAAGGCAGUUCACUGGACUGCAACUGACACUGAGGCUCGAAAGUGUGGAUAUCAAACAGGAUUAGAUACCCGAGUAGUC
rnacentral:rRNA from 1 species